rnacentral:rRNA from 1 species
UACGUAGGGGGCAAGCGUUGUCCGGAAUCAUUGGGCGUAAAGCGCGUGUAGGCGGCUCGAUAAGUCUGCUGUGAAAGUCCAAGGCUCAACCUUGGGAUGCCGGUGGAUACUGUCGAGCUCGAGUCCGGAAGAGGAGUGUGGAAUUCCUGGUGUAGCGGUGAAAUGCGCAGAUAUCAGGAGGAACACCAAUGGCGAAGGCAGCUCGCUGGAACGGUACUGACGCUGUGGCGCGAAAGCGUGGGGAGCAAACAGG